AUCCUUUUGUAGUUCAUAAGCGUGAUGACUGUGUCUUCACGGGCAUGCGUGAAAAGAUAUGCUUCUCACAAAUCUUGUUACGACAUCAGCACAUUACCCAUCUGACA
ensembl:snoRNA